CCUUGCGUUAUCAGAUGAGCUUAGGUCGGAUUAGCUAGUUGGUGAGGUAAUGGCUCACCAAGGCGACGAUCCGUAACUGGUCUGAGAGGAUGAUCAGUCACACUGGAACUGAGACACGGUCCAGACUCCUACGGGAGGCAGCAGUGGGGAAUAUUGGACAAUGGGCGAAAGCCUGAUCCAGCCAUGCCGCGUGUGUGAAGAAGGUCUUCGGAUUGUAAAGCACUUUAAGUUGGGAGGAAGGGCAUUAACCUAAUACGUUAGUGUUUUGACGUUACCGACAGAAUAAGCACCG
rnacentral:rRNA from 1 species